rnacentral:lncRNA from 1 species
CCGCCCCCGGCUGUUCCGCCGAGGCUCGCUGGGUCGCUGGCGCCGCCGCGCAGCACGGCUCAGACCGAGGCGCACAGGCUCGCAGCUCCGCGGCGCCUAGCGCUCCGGUCCCCGCCGCGACGCGCCACCGUCCCUGCCGGCGCCUCCGCGCGCUUCGAAAUGAGGGUCCUGGGUGGGCGCUGCGGGGCGCUGCUGGCGUGUCUCCUCCUAGUGCUUCCCGUCUCAGAGGCAAACUUUUUGUCAAAGCAACAGGCUUCACAAGUCCUGGUUAGGAAGCGUCGUGCAAAUUCUUUACUUGAAGAAACCAAACAGGGUAAUCUUGAAAGAGAAUGCAUCGAAGAACUGUGCAAUAAAGAAGAAGCCAGGGAGGUCUUUGAAAAUGACCCGGAAACGGUAAGCAUUUAUGGAAACUAUCAAUUUGUCUUCGCUCUUUUCAAACUGGGUUAUUCACUGCUGCACGUCAGUCAACUAAUGCUUAUCCUGACCUAAGAAGCUGUGUCAAUGCCAUUCCAGACCAGUGUAGUCCUCUGCCAUGCAAUGAAGAUGGAUAUAUGAGCUGCAAAGAUGGAAAAGCUUCUUUUACUUGCACUUGUAAACCAGGUUGGCAAGGAGAAAAGUGUGAAUUUGACAUAAAUGAAUGCAAAGAUCCCUCAAAUAUAAAUGGAGGUUGCAGUCAAAUUUGUGAUAAUACACCUGGAAGUUACCACUGUUCCUGUAAAAAUGGUUUUGUUAUGCUUUCAAAUAAGAAAGAUUGUAAAGAUGUGGAUGAAUGCUCUUUGAAGCCAAGCAUUUGUGGCACAGCUGUGUGCAAGAACAUCCCAGGAGAUUUUGAAUGUGAAUGCCCCGAAGGCUACAGAUAUAAUCUCAAAUCAAAGUCUUGUGAAGAUAUAGAUGAAUGCUCUGAGAACAUGUGUGCUCAGCUUUGUGUCAAUUACCCUGGAGGUUACACUUGCUAUUGUGAUGGGAAGAAAGGAUUCAAACUUGCCCAAGAUCAGAAGAGUUGUGAGGUUGUUUCAGUGUGCCUUCCCUUGAACCUUGACACAAAGUAUGAAUUACUUUACUUGGCGGAGCAGUUUGCAGGGGUUGUUUUAUAUUUAAAAUUUCGUUUGCCAGAAAUCAGCAGAUUUUCAGCAGAAUUUGAUUUCCGGACAUAUGAUUCAGAAGGCGUGAUACUGUACGCAGAAUCUAUCGAUCACUCAGCGUGGCUCCUGAUUGCACUUCGUGGUGGAAAGAUUGAAGUUCAGCUUAAGAAUGAACAUACAUCCAAAAUCACAACUGGAGGUGAUGUUAUUAAUAAUGGUCUAUGGAAUAUGGUGUCUGUGGAAGAAUUAGAACAUAGUAUUAGCAUUAAAAUAGCUAAAGAAGCUGUGAUGGAUAUAAAUAAACCUGGACCCCUUUUUAAGCCGGAAAAUGGAUUGCUGGAAACCAAAGUAUACUUUGCAGGAUUCCCUCGGAAAGUGGAAAGUGAACUCAUUAAACCGAUUAACCCUCGUCUAGAUGGAUGUAUACGAAGCUGGAAUUUGAUGAAGCAAGGAGCUUCUGGAAUAAAGGAAAUUAUUC